rnacentral:tRNA from 1 species
GAGGGUAGAGCUCGGUGGUAGAGCGUGUGCUUAAUAUGCACGAGGUCCUGGGUUCCAUCCCCAGUCCCUUUC